CCUGAUUUUCAUUCAGAGUACCUACCUAUAAAGUUACAACCGCUGCGCUUUACUGGUUUAGGUACUAAAUUUUUCAUCGUACCUAUUUUGGUUGGUUUUAAGCUGACUAUUGUAUAGAAGAGAUAAACAAGAUUCUGUCGUUCCUGAUUUUCAUUCAGAGUACCUACCUAUAAAGUUACAACCGCUGCGCUUUACUGGUUUAGGUACUAAAUUUUUCAUCGUACCUAUUUUGGUUGGUUUUAAGCUGACUAUUGUAUAGAAGAGAUAAACAAGAUUCUGUCGUUCCUGAUUUUCGUUCAGAGCACCUACCUAUAAAGUUACAACCGCUGCGCUU